rnacentral:rRNA from 1 species
UACGUAGGGGGCAAGCGUUGUCCGGAUUUAUUGGGCGUAAAGAGCGUGUAGGCGGCCAGGUAGGUCCGUUGUGAAAACUCGAGGCUCAACCUCGAGCUGUCGAUGGAAACCAUCUGGCUAGAGUCCGGAAGAGGAGAGUGGAAUUCCCGGUGUAGCGGUGAAAUGCGUAGAUAUCAGGAGGAACACCGGUGGUGUAGACGGCUCUCUGGACCGUAACUGACGCUGAGACACGAAAGCGUGGGUAGCAAACAGG